UAAAUUUCAGAAGCUCCAAGA
rnacentral:piRNA from 1 species